CUACAUAGAAGAUGCCGAAUUGAGUCCUGAGAUUUGGGCGAUGGGCUUUAAAAAUCCAUGGCGAUGCAGCUUUGAUUCGGAGAGACCGGAAUAUUUUUUUUGCGCCGAUGUUGGUCAGGUAAGAAAGAUGCAAUUUUGGAUGUGAUGAACUUCAAUCAUUUUAUGUAUGCUCUGUUGCAGAAUACAUAUGAAGAAGUGGAUUUGGUAACGAAAGAUGGAAACUAUGGUUGGAAUGUUUAUGAGGGACCUGAACUCUUCGUUCCUCCUGCAUCUACCAAACCCAAUACAACUAAGGCUAAUGUAACUCUGGUCGC
rnacentral:lncRNA from 1 species